rnacentral:tRNA from 1 species
GGGCCGUUAGCUCAGCGGUAGAGCAGUGGACUUUUAAUCCAUUGGUCGAGAGUUCGAUCCUCUCACGGCCCACCA